rnacentral:rRNA from 1 species
GACGCUGGCGGCAGGCUUAACACAUGCAAGUCGAACGAAGUCUUCGGACUUAGUGGCAGACGGGUGAGUAACGCGUGGGAACCUACCCUUUGGUACGGAACAACAGUUGGAAACGACUGCUAAUACCGUAUGAGCCCUACGGGGGAAAGAUUUAUCGCCAAAGGAUGGGCCCGCGUUGGAUUAGCUAGUUGGUGGGGUAAAAGCCUACCAAGGCGACGAUCCAUAGCUGGUCUGAGAGGAUGAUCAGCCACACUGGGACUGAGACACGGCCCAGACUCCUACGGGAGGCAGCAGUGGGGAAUAUUGGACAAUGGGGGCAACCCUGAUCCAGCCAUGCCGCGUGAGUGAUGAAGGCCCUAGGGUUGUAAAGCUCUUUCAGCGAGGAGGAUAAUGACGUUACUCGCAGAAGAAGCCCCGGCUAACUUCGUGCCAGCAGCCGCGGUAAUACGAAGGGGGCUAGCGUUGUUCGGAAUCACUGGGCGUAAAGCGCACGUAGGCGGACUUUUAAGUCAGGGGUGAAAUCCCGGGGCUNAACCCCGNACUGCUUUGAUCUGGAAGUCUGAGUCCAAAAAGGUGAGU